rnacentral:rRNA from 1 species
UACGAAGGGGGCUAGCAUUGCUCGGAAUCACUGGGCGUAAAGCGCACGUAGGCGGAUCUUUAAGUCAGGGGUGAAAUCCUGGAGCUCAACUCCAGAACUGCCUUUGAUACUGGGGAUCUCGAGUCCGGGAGAGGUGAGUGGAACUCCGAGUGUAGAGGUGAAAUUCGUAGAUAUUCGCAAGAACACCGGUGGCGAAGGCGGCUCUCUGGUCCAAUCCUGACGCUGAGGUGCGAAAGCUAGGGGAGCAAACGGG